rnacentral:lncRNA from 1 species
UGAAUGAUUUAAAAUAUGACUAGAAUAUGUUGAAAUUUUAUGUGUUGAAAACAUGAUUUUUAUUUGAAUUUAGAAAGCUAUUUCCUUGUGUUAAAACUUUUCUCCUAGUCCCUCUUUUAAUGUCUUAUGAUUUCUAGUCAAAUUGAUAAUGUUAUUUCUUUGUAUUAAAGAUUUUCUCCUCAUCUAUCUUUUAAUGCAUUAUUAUGUUUUCAUUUAUGUUGUUAAUGGGUAUAUGCUAUGACUAGUCCAUGGGCCAGGGCUGGGCCAGUUUUAUGUAAUGCAUGCUCAAUCAUGUAUAAUGCACAUGACCAGUAGAUGGACUGGCUCAAUCUAGCCCAAUAUUAUUGUUGAACUUGAGCCCAAAUAUUGAUUAAAUUAAACUAAACUUGAUUAGUCUAGAUCAAUUCAGGGUGAUUCCGAAUUGAUUGACUUAUUCAAGUUAGUUUAACCUAAAUUAAACUUAAUCUAGUCUAAAUUAUACUAGUCUAGGGUGGUUCCAAACCAGUUAAAUAAGGAUUAGAGAUCAGUUCAGUUAGGCUCUAGUAAAUCGAGUUCAAUUGAAUCGAUUAAACUAGAGUUCAAGUCAAUUGAGGGCUAAUUUAUAUUAUUUGAUAUUGAUGAUAUUUGAAAGAGAUGUUUUAAAUAUGUUAUUUCAUCCCGAAAUGGACAUGACCAGUGUGAGAUUAUAUUAUUUUCCUACCGAGAGUAGGUAGUUUAACCUAAAUUAAACUUAAUCUAGUCUAAAUUAUACUAGUCUAGGGUGGUUCCAAACCAGUUAAAUAAGGAUUAGAGAUCAGUUCAAUUAGGCUCUAGUAAAUCGAGUUCAAU